rnacentral:rRNA from 1 species
UACAGAGGGGGCAAGCGUUGUUCGGAAUUACUGGGCGUAAAGGGCGCGUAGGCGGCCUGUUAAGUCGAACGUGAAAUCCCCGGGCUCAACCCGGGAACUGCGUCCGAAACUGGCAGGCUCGAAUUCGGGAGAGGGAUGCGGAAUUCCAGGUGUAGCGGUGAAAUGCGUAGAUAUCGAGAGGAACACCUGCGGCGAAGGCGGGUUGCUGGGCCGACACUGACGCUGAUGCGCGAAAGCGUGGGGAGCAAACAGG